rnacentral:rRNA from 1 species
GAAGUUAGGAAAUGUAGACUCGCUAAUAUCGGGUCUAUUUGACAAAGGCUCCAAAGGAAGCCACGGCUAACUCUGUGCCAGCAGCCGCGGUAAUACAGAGGUGGCAAGCGUUGUUCGGAAUUAUUGGGCGUAAAGAGCACGUAGGUGGAUUUGUAAGUCAGACGUGAAAGCCUUCUGUUCAACGGAAGAAUUGCAUCUGAAACUACAAACCUUGAGUGUAGGAGGGGAGAGUGGAACUUCUGGU